rnacentral:rRNA from 1 species
CAGUAGCCACGGGAAUACGUAGGGUGCGAGCGUUAAUCGGAAUUACUGGGCGUAAAGCGCGCGCAGGUGGUUUAAUAAGUCUGAUGUGAAAGCCCACGGCUCAACCGUGGAGGGUCAUUGGAAACUGUUAAACUUGAGUGCAGGAGAGAAAAGUGGAAUUCCUAGUGUAGCGGUGAAAUGCGUAGAGAUGUGGAGGAACACCUGUGGCGAAAGCGGCUCACUGGACCAUUUCUGACGCUGAUGCACGAAAGCUAGGGGAGCAAACAGGAUUAGAUACCCGUGUAGUCCCUGUCUCUUAUAC